AGGGCACCACCAGGAGUGGAGCCUGCGGCUUAAUUUGACUCAACACGGGAAAACUCACCCGGCCCGGACACUGGAAGGAUUGACAGAUUGAGAGCUCUUUCUUGAUUCAGUGGGUGGUGGUGCAUGGCCGUUCUUAGUUGGUGGAGUGAUUUGUCUGGUUAAUUCCGAUAACGAACGAGACUCUAGCCUAUUAAAUAGAUCGUUGGCUUACAAACGCCGGCGAGACUUCUUAGAGGGACAGGCGGCGAUUCAGCCGCACGAAACAGAGCAAUAACAGGUCUGUGAUGCCCUUAGAUGUCCGGGGCCGCACGCGCGCUACACUGAAGUGAUCAGCGUGCAUUUUGAAACCUACUCUGUCAAGAGUGGGGAACCCAAUGAACCUUCUUCGUGAUUGGGAUAGGGGAUUGUAAUUAUUCCCCUUGAACGAGGAAUUCCCAGUAAGCGCGAAUCAUAAGUUUGCGCUGAUUACGUCCCUGCCCUUUGUACACACCGCCCGUCGCUACUACCGAUUGAAUGUUU
rnacentral:rRNA from 1 species